GGGGGGGGGUUGCUUUUUGUCAUUGCUUUGUUUCUUUCGUUGUUCCGUUAGGUCGCUUGCCAUCCAUCGUUGCUGUGCCCGAUUGGGGCUCGCCCAACUGCGCGUCAUCUGUCCAAUCCCGUCUGCGCUUUUGGCGAUCAUGCGCUCUCGCCAUCACCACCCAUGACUGGCAUUGCUGCGGCAGCUUUACCCUCAUUCUCUCCCUUUUGCCCGAAGUUGGUGUUAUCGCCUUGGCCUGUUAACGAAGGAAAGCUGCAAACCCACAAAACAGACAAUCGAAAAAAAAAAAAAAAAAAAAAAAACAGUCAGAGUGAGCUGGUGCAGAAUCUGACUGCCAUGGAUCUGGCUCAGGGUGGACAACCAGGUUGGGAUUUGGAGAAUUAGGGUUCCCAUGUUGCUAAGAUCCUACUCCUGGUGUAUAAUUGUGCUGUUGGUAGUCAAAACUUGUAAUCAAAUUUUAUAAUUUAGCUUGUA